UAAGGCAAGCCAUACAACGAGUGACUGCUCUAGUUGACCAGCUCGACUUCAUUAUUUACAUGAUUAUUAAAAUGGAACAUUUCGACGACACCGAGGCCACCGCAGGUAAGUGGGGAAUCCCACCCAGACCAACCCUUUUCCCUGACAAGAGACUGAAAAGAUGGAAUGCAGCACAACAUGUUCUCAGUGUAGUGUAUGGUUGACUUUAUACUGACAUAUUUAAUACUUGUGCUUUGAUUGUCAACUCGUUCUGCAAUACGAUUUUCCAGUCACGUGUCGUACAAUACCUGUAACUCGCUGAAUAAACACUAAGCCAAUUCCUAGGAGUCUGAAUCUCGUUUGAUUCUUUUCGAGGGGAGCUACAGUAAUAGCACCCAAAUGCACCUCAAAAUAUUUAGGCUAGUUGUGUGCCUUGCAUCAUGUUUUAGUCUCGAUAGAAAUGUGAUAUCGAACCCGGGCCUGAAGUUAGGAUACAAGUGACGCAACAGAAUUGGACAUAUGUUUAAUGAAUAAAACACAUGCAAAUAUCGCUUUGAGAUGGUAAAAGCAAAACGUUUAUUCAGUUCAUGAUACAAGAGUCUCACAGUAAGCGCCAAAACACACACGUCUUUGAUUUUGUAGGCCGCAUACAGACCCUGGAUCGCGGAACGGUUCAAACGUGACUCGAUUUCAGUUCGUUUUGCGCUUACAGCAUAUAGCACAAAUCAGUAUACAGCAAAUCACCAAUAUGCACUCACUAUCUGUUCCGAUGGUGUACGUGUUCUAAUUUGAUAUUCAAUAUGUCCACAAGGUGAUCAUAUUAUCAGACAAAAGGAUAUAUACACAUCCCUUAGUUCUGGGAGUUUUUUUUUUUUUUACCGAUCCUCCUCCACUGUCAUUAAUUUAAAAAGAGCAGGGAUUCCCCGUUAAUCGACAAGUCCCUGACAAUAAUCCUUAAAAUGGCACAAAUCUCAUCCAGAACAUUUUUACAC